rnacentral:rRNA from 1 species
UCAAGUGACUAAGAGCAUGUGGUGGAUGCCUUGGCGAUUACAGGCGAUGAAGGACGUGAUAGCCUGCGAAAAGCUUCGGGGAGCUGGCAAAUUAGCUUUGAUCCGGAGAUAUCCGAAUGGGGAAACCCACCCUUAGGGGUAUCGCAUGCUGAAUACAUAGGCAUGCGAGGCGAACCGAGUGAACUGAAACAUCUAAGUAACUCGAGGAAAAGACAUCAACCGAGAUUCCGAAAGUAGUGGCGAGCGAAAUCGGAGGAGCCUAGUCCUCUUUAGCAUCGAACUUAUCAAAACAGCUUGGAAACGCUGGCCAUAGUGGGUGAUAGCCCCGUAUGAGAAAAGUUUGGUGUGGAACUGAGUGGACGAUAAGUAGGGCGGGACACGAGAAAUCCUGUCUGAAGAUGGGGGGACCAUCCUCCAAGGCUAAAUACUCGUAAUCGACCGAUAGUGAACAAGUACCGUGAGGGAAAGGCGAAAAGAACCCCGGGAGGGGAGUGAAAUAGAUCCUGAAACCGCAUGCAUACAAAAAGUCGGAGCCCGCAAGGGUGACGGCGUACCUUUUGUAUAAUGGGUCAGCGACUUACAUUCAGUGGCGAGGUUAACCGAAUAGGGAAGCCGAAGAGAAAUCGAGUCCGAAUAGGGCGUCUAGUCGCUGGGUGUAGACCCGAAACCAAGUGAUCUAUCCAUGGCCAGGAUGAAGGUGCGGUAACACGCACUGGAGGUCCGAACCGACUAAUGUUGCAAAAUUAGCGGAUGAGCUGUGGAUAGGGGUGAAAGGCUAAACAAACUUGGAAAUAGCUGGUUCUCUCCGAAAACUAUUUAGGUAGUGCCUCAAGUAUUACCUGCGGGGGUAGAGCACUGUUUAGGCUAGGGGGUCAUGGCGACUUACCAAACCUAUGCAAACUCCGAAUACCGAUGAGUACAGCUUGGGAGACAGUGCACCGGGUGCUAACGUCCGGACACAAGAGGGAAACAACCCAGACCGCCAGCUAAGGUCCCUAAAAUUGGCUAAGUGGGAAACGAAGUGGGAAGGCUAAAACAGUCAGGAUGUUGGCUUAGAAGCAGCCAUCAUUUAAAGAAAGCGUAAUAGCUCACUGAUCGAGUCGUCCUGCGCGGAAGAUGUAACGGGGCUAAGCCAGUUACCGAAGCUGCGGAUGCAUAGCAAUAUGCGUGGUAGGAGAGCGUUCUGUAAGCCUGUGAAGGUGAGUUGAGAAGCUUGCUGGAGGUAUCAGAAGUGCGAAUGCUGACAUGAGUAGCGUUAAAGGGGGUGAAAAGCCCCCUCGCCGAAAGCGCAAGGUUUCCUACGCAACGUUCAUCGGCGUAGGGUGAGUCGGCCCCUAAGGCGAGGCAGAGAUGCGUAGCUGAUGGGAAACAGGUUAAUAUUCCUGUACCGAUCUAUAGUGCGAUGUGGGGACGGAGAAGGUUAGCUCAGCCAACUGUUGGAUUAGUUGGUUCAAGCCUGUAGUCGUGCCUGGUAGGCAAAUCCGCCGGGCUUAGAUGAGGGGUGAUAACGGGUCUGCUUGCAGACGAAGUGAGUGAUACCCUGCUUCCAGGAAAAGCCACUAAGCUUCAGCUAUAGACGACCGUACCGCAAACCGACACUGGUGCGCGAGAUGAGUAUUCUAAGGCGCUUGAGAGAACUCUGGAGAAGGAACUCGGCAAAUUGACACCGUAACUUCGGAAGAAGGUGUGCCUUAAGUAGGUGAACCAUUUACUUGGGGAGCCCAACAAGGUCGCAGAGAAUCGGUGGCUGCGACUGUUUAAUAAAAACACAGCACUCUGCAAAGACGAAAGUCGACGUAUAGGGUGUGACGCCUGCCCGGUGCUGGAAGAUUAAUUGAUGGGGUGCAAGCUCUUGAUUGAAGUCCCAGUAAACGGCGGCCGUAACUAUAACGGUCCUAAGGUAGCGAAAUUCCUUGUCGGGUAAGUUCCGACCUGCACGAAUGGCGUAACGAUAGUACA